CGCUGGCGGCAGGCCUAACACAUACAAGUCGAGCGGGGAGCAAUCCCUAGCGGCGGACGGGUUAGUAACGCGUGGGAACAUACCCUUUGGUACGGAAUAGCCUCGGGAAACUGAGAGUAAUACCGUAUGUGCCCUUCGGGGGAAAGAUUUAUCGCCAAAGGAUUGGCCCGCGUCCGAUUAGCUAGUUGGUGAGGUAACGGCUCACCAAGGCUACGAUCGGUAGCUGGUCUGAGAGGAUGAUCAGCCACAUUGGGACUGAGACACGGCCCAAACUCCUACGGGAGGCAGCAGUGGGGGAAUAUUGGACAAUGGGCGCAAGCCUGAUCCAGCCAUGCCGCGUGAGUGAUGAAGGCCUUAGGGUUGUAAAGCCCUUUUGUCCGGGAAGAUAAUGACUGUACCGGAAGAAUAAGCCCCGGCUAACUUCGUG
rnacentral:rRNA from 1 species